UACGUAGGGUGCGAGCGUUGUCCGGAAUUAUUGGGCGUAAAGAGCUCGUAGGCGGUGUGUCGCGUCGGCCGUGAAAACCUGGGGGCUUAACUCUGGGCGUGCGGUCGAUACGGGCAUCACUGGAGUUCGGCAGGGGAGACUGGAAUUCCUGGUGUAGCGGUGAAAUGCGCAGAUAUCAGGAGGAACACCGGUGGCGAAGGCGGGGUCUCUGGGCCGAUACUGACGCUGAGGAGCGAAAGCAUGGGUAGCGAACAGG
rnacentral:rRNA from 1 species